ensembl:piRNA 21ur-503 ncRNA
UAAACAGGACUUAAUCUACAU